UACGGAGGGUGCAAGCGUUGCUCGGAAUUAUUGGGCGUAAAGGGCAAGUAGGUGGUCUCAUUUGUCUGGGGUGAAAGCCUUGAGCUUAACUCAAGAAGUGCCCCAGAAACGGUGAGACUAGAGUAUCGGAGAGGUCAGUGGAAUACCCGGUGUAGCGGUGAAAUGCGUAGAGAUCGGGUGGAACACCAGAGGCGAAGGCGGCUGACUGGACGAUUACUGACACUCAAUUGCGAAAGCGUGGGGAGCAAACAGG
rnacentral:rRNA from 1 species